GGGGGAUUAGCUCAGCUGGGAGAGCGCUACUCUGGCAGAGUAGAGGUCAGCGGUUCGAUCCCGCUAUCCUCCACCA
rnacentral:tRNA from 1 species